CCCCCGCCAUAGCAGAGGCCACUCCCACCGCCGUAGCCGCCGCUGCUCAGGCAGAGGCCGCCAGCUCCUCCGUAGCCUGUUCCCCCGGAGGAAGAGACCACAGCUGAGGAAAGAAGGCACGGGACACGCCGGGCAGUGGAGGUCGCUGGAUGAGAAAAUGGCUUUCCGGGGUCUUUCUCUGGGCAGUGGGUAAGUAUGUAAUGCAAGACAAGCAUGAUCACGUGCUGCCCAGAUGAAGCAGCCUGUGCCAGGCGAAUGCAUCCCCACCCCCGGGAGGCCCUUAUCCCAGAGGCUCUCUGGGAUUGAGUCAAGGCCAUGUACUGGAUAGUUUUAUGUCAGCUUGGCACAAGCUAGAGUUGUCUGAAAGAAGGGAGCCUCAAUCGAGAAAAUGCCUCCACAAGAUCUGGUCGGAAGGCAUUUUCUUAAUUAGUGAUUGAUGGAGGCCCAGCCGUUUGUAGGUGGAGCCAUCCCUGUGGUGUAAGAAAGCAACUGAGCAAGCCCUGAGGAGCAAGCCAGUGAGCAGCCUGCUCCAUGGCCUCUGCAUCAGCUCCUGCUCCAGGUUCCUGCCCUGCUUGAGUUCCUGUCCCGACUUUCUUCGGUAAUGGGCAGUGACAGUGAAGUGUGAGCUGAAUAAACCUUUUCCUCCCCAGCUUGCUUUUUGAUCAUGGUGUUUCACCACAGCACUAGAAACCCUGACCAAGACAGACCAGAUCCAAGUCUUCCAGACACAGGAGCGUGAAUGGGAUGGCCUUUGAGAGUUCAGUCCUACCUGCUUCUUCAGGCUGUCAAUCUCAGAGCGCAGCCUCUGAAUGGCCCGGUUGAGCUCAGAGAUCUCCAUCUUAGUGGUACGGAGGUCAUCCCCAUGCUGGCCAGCAGACCGCUGCAGCUCCUCAUACUGGGAGAAAGGAGAGGCUUCAGCCACACACCUCAGCCAACAGCCAGACGCCUGGGCCCUUGCUCCUUUCCCGCUCCUGGCCUCUCUUCCUCAGCCUCUGCUCCAUGCAUCUCACCUUCCCAGACCAGCAUCGCACACCUGGCAUGCUUUGCCAUCUUCCUUCACACACUUCUGUCAUGGCACCAGUGGGUACUGUCGCCGUGACUCCCAGCUCAGAGGUGAAAUCUCGUUCUCUGAUCCAUAGUAAAUCUCUGGCUCCAACCAGCUCCAGCUGGCCCUCUUUGCAUCCUCUGUCCUCAUCUUGAAGGCAUUAGACCUUGGUCUUGACCUCAGCCCCUCCCAUUGGCAUGGUGGCUGCAACUGACCACUUAUACCCGUUUCUCUGAUAUGAAGCCUUGGGGGUGUAUGUCAUCAGUCCUGGAAGAAGACCUGGUACUUCUGCCUGUAUCUGACUAUUCCCUUUGAUCCUGGUGGUUUUAGCCCUGGGUAAUGCUCUAAGUCAGACCCUUUGGUCCCCACCAUGCUGGGACGCUGGAGAGGAAGGCUCUUACCUUAUUCGUCUGUGAAACCUCUAGUCCCUGUGCCUGUUUAGUUGGUUGGAUCUUGGCGCCUCACCUUGGUCUGGUACCAGGAUUCAGCCUCGGCUCGGCUGCGGUUGGCGAUGUCCUCGUACUGCGCCUUGACCUCGGCGAUGAUGCUGUCCAGGUCCAGGCUGCGGUUGUUGUCCAUGGACAGGACCACAGAGGUCUCAGAGAUCUGAGCCUGAAGCUGAGCCAGCUCCUGUGUUUGAGUCCAAAGAGGAGAGAUGAGACAGGACGUUCCCGUAUGCCCGUACACAUGACUUGCUCCAUGAAGAACCAUCUGAAGACGGGUUGGGAGCAGAGAGAAGGCCAGUAAAGAGACAGUAGCUUGGAUGCCCCCAAGCCAGUGCUCACAGCCUCCAGCCCUCCAGUCAGGGCACCCGGCUCUCACCGCCUCAUAGAAUGCUCUCAGGAAGUUGAUCUCGUCCAUCAGGGCGUCCACCUUGGCCUCCAGCUCCACCUUGUUCAUGUAGGCAGCGUCCACGUCCUGAGCACAGAACAUGAGAUCAUCCUGGGGUCUACCCAGGGUUGGCUUGCAGCCCCUGGCCUAACCGCUGGAGCUAGUGGGACAGCCUCGGCCCCAUGUACUAUGACCUUCAGGAGUGCCUGUUGGCUGCUCAUCGGCUAGCGCCGUAUGCAAGGGUCUCCUCUGUCACCUUCCAUGGUGAGGACUUUCCUUUCUCAAUCUUGGGGCUUCCGUUGCCUCUGAGCUCUGCAAGCCUCUCCCCAAAGACCAUGUGUGCCCUCAUCCUCACACCUCUGCCCUCACCCCCGCUUCCCUUCCCUUCCUCUCCUUGCUGCUGCUCUGUCAAUGUAAUCCGUGGUGGUUUUUUCCUUCUCUCUGCCAGUCUGUCUCAAAGCAGGACAGCCAGACCUCCAGGCUUCCACUGCCUUGCCUGAAGAUUGGCCCUGUGUUCUGAAUUUGGAGCUGGGGACCAGGCCCAGCUGGCUUCUGCUCACCCCACAUUGCACCGUGCAAGGAGAGGGGCUGGUGUCAAGGCUCGCAGGACUCGGACCUGGGAGCCCUGAACCCGGAGCUACCUCUAAGCACCUCUGUACAACAAACUGAACCUCCCCGGACCUCAUGUCCUCAUGGGUAAAGUCAGAUCUGUCUCCCGGAAGACCAGGAGCUGCAGUGAGUGUGCUGCCUUCCCCAGGAACUUGUGGUCGGUCUAUGAGACCACCUUUGUACUUACUUUUUUGAGUAUUACAAACUCAUUCUCUGCCGCUGUA